AGCACAGCAGUAGCAAUACUGUGGGUGACGAGUGGGCGGACGGGUGAGGAAUACGUCGGAAUCUGCCCAGCCGGUGGGGAUACUAGCCGAAAGGUUAGCUAAUACCGCAUACGACCGAGAGGUGAAAGCGGGGACCGCAAGGCCUCGCGCGAUUGGAUGAGCCGACGUCGGAUUAGCUAGUUGGCGGGGUAAAGGCCCACCAAGGCGACGAUCCGUAGCUGGUCUGAGAGGAUGAUCAGCCACACUGGAACUGAGACACGGUCCAGACUCCUACGGGAGGCAGCAGUGGGGAAUAUUGGACAAUGGGCGCAAGCCUGAUCCAGCAAUGCCGCGUGUGUGAAGAAGGCCUUCGGGUUGUAAAGCACUUUUAUCAGGAACGAAAAGCGUUGGAUUAAUACUCUGACGUGCUGACGGUACCUGAGGAAUAAGCACCGGCUAACUUCGUG
rnacentral:rRNA from 1 species